AUAUUGCGCAAUGGGGGAAACCCUGACGCAGCAACGCCGCGUGAGUGAGGAAGGUCUUCGGAUUGUAAAACUCUUUUGUUAGGGAAAAAUGGUCAGGGAGCUAAUACCCCCUGAUUUGAUGGUACCUAAGGAAUAAGGACCGGCUAACUUCGUGCCAGCAGCCGCGGUAAUACGAAGGGUGCAAGCGUUAUUCGGAAUCAUUGGGCGUAAAGCGCGCGCAGGCGGAUUUGUAAGUCAGGUGUGAAAUCUCGGAGCUCAACUCCGAAACUGCGCCUGAAACUACAAGUCUAGAAUGUCGGAGGGGGCAGGGGAAUUUCACGUGUAGGGGUAAAAUCCGUAGAGAUGUGAAGGAACACCGGAGGCGAAGGCGCCUGCCUGGACGACUAUUGACGCUGAGGCGCGAAAGCGUGGGGAGCAAACAGG
rnacentral:rRNA from 1 species